rnacentral:tRNA from 1 species
CUGCCACUGGCGCAGCAGGUAUUGCCGCUGUUCGAGCGGCGAAUUGCCCGUUUCUGGCGUUUGUCUCGCUGGUGGCAGG